rnacentral:rRNA from 1 species
AGUAGCCUGCCCAUAAGAGGGGGAUAAUCCAUGGAAACGUGGACUAAUACCGCAUAUUGUAGUCAAGUCGCAUGACUAGAUUAUGAAAGAUUUAUCGCUUAUGGAUGGACUCGCGUCAGAUUAGAUAGUUGGUGAGGUAACGGCUCACCAAGUCAACGAUCUGUAGCCGAACUGAGAGGUUGAUCGGCCGCAUUGGGACUGAGACACGGCCCAG